UACGUAGGGGGCUAGCGUUGUCCGGAUUUAUUGGGCGUAAAGAGCGUGUAGGCGGCCAGGUAGGUCUGCUGUGAAAACUCGAGGCUCAACCUCGAGACGUCGGCGGAAACCAUCUGGCUAGAGUCCGGAAGAGGAGAGUGGAAUUCCUGGUGUAGCGGUGAAAUGCGCAGAUAUCAGGGGGAACACCGGUGGCGAAGGCGGAUCUCUGGGCCUUACCUGACGCUCAGGUGCGAAAGCUAGGGGAGCGAACAGG
rnacentral:rRNA from 1 species